rnacentral:rRNA from 1 species
AGCCUUCUGAAAGGAAGAUUAAUCCAGGAUGGGAUCAUGAGUUCACAUGUCCGCAUGAUUAAAGGUAUUUUCCGGUAGACGAUGGGGAUGCGUUCCAUUAGAUAGUAGGCGGGGUAACGGCCCACCUAGUCAACGAUGGAUAGGGGUUCUGAGAGGAAGGUCCCCCACAUUGGAACUGAGACACGGUCCAAACUCUUACGGGAGGCAGCAGUGAGGAAUAUUGGUCAAUGGGCGAUGGCCUGAACCAGCCAAGUAGCGUGAAGGAUGACUGCCCUAUGGGUUGUAAACUUCUUUUAUAAAGGAAUAAAGUCGGGUAUGCAUACCCGUUUGCAUGUACUUUAUGAAUAAGGAUCGGCUAACUCCGUGCCAGCAGCCGCGGUAAUACGGAGGAUCCGAGCGUUAUCCGGAUUUAUUGGGUUUAAAGGGAGCGUAGAUGGAUGUUUAAGUCAGUUGUGAAAGUUUGCGGCUCAACCGUAAAAUUGCAGUUGAUACUGGAUGUCUUGAGUGCAGUUGAGGCAGGCGGAAUUCGUGGUGUAGCGGUGAAAUGCUUAGAUAUCACGAAGAACUCCGAUUGCGAAGGCAGCCUGCUAAGCUGCAACUGACAUUGAGGCUCGAAAGUGUGGGUAUCAAACAGGAUUAGAUACCCUGGUAGUCCACACGGUAAACGAUGAAUACUCGCUGUUUGCGAUAUACGGCAAGCGGCCAAGCGAAAGCGUUAAGUAUUCCACCUGGGGAGUA